rnacentral:misc_RNA from 1 species
GAUGAAGAACGCAGCGAAAUGCGAUAAGUAGUGUGAAUUGCAGAAUUCAGUGAAUCAUCGAAUCUUUGAACGCACAUUGCGCCUCCUGGUAUUCAGGGAGGCAUGCCUGUUCGAGCGUCAUUAAAAUCACUCAAGCUUAGGUUUACCUAUUGCUUGGUCUUGGAGAUGGAAGCCAAUUUAUUGGAAUCCUCUUCGAAAUUCAAUGGCGAAGACCCUUGCUCUCCCAAGUGUAGUAAUAACUUAUGUCACUGAAGGAAGCGAGAAAUCUUCUGCCGUAACCCCCAUAUUUUCUAUGAUUGACCUCGGAUCAGGUAGGGAUACCCGCUGAACUUAAGCAUAUCAAUAAGCGGAGGA